AUCUUUGCGCCCCGUUUGGUUUUCGCUUCCUCCUUCCUGCCUCUGCUUUCGGUCACCUCGUCGCAGGAAACGAAAGCGCACAAUUCAGAUCCAGUGCAGUCGAACCAAAGUUACUUCUUAAGUCCGCACACGGCCGUGAGUUAGGGUAUGACUGCAGAUACUAACGCAAAUUUCGAUGCACAGCAUGGACGAGAAGACCAGGCUGUCAGUCUCCGCUCUAAUUCACCAAAGUGUUCUAUAGGGUUGAGGUCAGGAUUGUCCAGGCCAGUCAAGUUCAUCCACAUCAAAUUCUCUCAUCUGCGUCUUUAUCAACCUUGAUUUGUGCACUGAUGCACAGACAUGUUGGAACAGGAAGGGGCCAUCUCCAAACUAGCAGUAUAAAUGUAACACAGGAUACAAAAAAAGAGCAUCAGUCUGCACAUCUUUAUUUUUUUCAGUUAUUAAUGCACGAUUUGUCUGGAGCACAGAAAAUACAUUUCUAACAUUUUAUUGGACAGCACAGGUUUGGAAACUGAGAGAAGGUGUUGCCAGACACUUUUCUGUGUGAAAACGGCAUGUCGUCGUCAUGGGUACAUACAGGAAUUGCACAAGAUUCGUUUUAAAGACCUUAUAUCCACCACCACUUGUGCCCCACCCCCUCCCUUAAAAUAAAAACCC